rnacentral:rRNA from 1 species
UACGGGGGGGAGCAAGCGUUGUUCGGAUUUACUGGGCGUAAAGGGCGCGUAGGCGGUCAGCACAAGUCAGUUGUGAAAUCUCCGGGCUUAACUCGGAAAGGUCAACUGAUACUGUGCGACUAGAGUGCAGAAGGGGCAACUGGAAUUCUCGGUGUAGCGGUGAAAUGCGUAGAUAUCGAGAGGAACACCUGCGGCGAAGGCGGGUUGCUGGGCUGACACUGACGCUGAUGCGCGAAAGCCAGGGGGAGCGAACGGGG